rnacentral:lncRNA from 1 species
UGGCUGGCUUUAAUGGAAAAUCACCAUAAAGAUUAACGCCCAUCACAGCCCACUAGAAAUGGCAAGGCAAAAAAUGGCAUCCAAGCAUGCAGAUGUGGUCAGAACUGCAGAGGAAAUUGGCUGGACUGGGCUGUGUCAGGCUGUGUCCAAGCAGGACAAAGUGACGCAGAUGAAGGCGAUGGCAUUUGACACCUGGGAAAAAAUGUUCCUGCUCAUCUUCCAGCUGUGA